CUACGGGUUGCUCCAGUGGGGAAUAUUGCACAAUGGAGGAAACUCUGAUGUAGCAACGCCGCGUGGAGGAUGACACUUUUCGGAGCGUAAACUCCUUUUAUAUAGGAAGAAGAUGACGGUACUAUAUGAAUAAGCGCCGGCUAACUCCGUGCCAGCAGCCGCGGUAAUACGGAGGGCGAAAGCGUUACUCGGAAUCACUGGGCGUAAAGAGCGUGUAGGCGGAUUAAAAAGUCAGAAGUGAAAUCCUAUAGCUUAACUAUAGAACUGCUUCUGAAACUCUUAAUCUAGAAUAUGGGAGAGGUAGAGGGAAUUUCUGGUGUAGGGGUAAAAUCCGUAGAGAUCAGAAGGAAUACCGAUUGCGAAGGCGAUCUACUAGAACAUUAUUGACGCUGAGACGCGAAAGCGUGGGGAGCAAACAGGAUUAGAUACCCGAGUAGUC
rnacentral:rRNA from 1 species